rnacentral:rRNA from 1 species
AUUGAACGCUGGCGGCAGGCCUAACACAUGCAAGUCGAGCGGAUGAAGGGAGCUUGCUCCUGGAUUCAGCGGCGGACGGGUGAGUAAUGCCUAGGAAUCUGCCUGGUAGUGGGGGAUAACGUCCGGAAACGGGCGCUAAUACCGCAUACGUCCUGAGGGAGAAAGUGGGGGAUCUUCGGACCUCACGCUAUCAGAUGAGCCUAGGUCGGAUCAGCUAGUUGGUGGGGUAAAGGCCUACCAAGGCGACGAUCCGUAACUGGUCUGAGAGGAUGAUCAGUCACACUGGAACUGAGACACGGUCCAGACCCCUACGGGAGGCAGCAGUGGGGAAUAUUGGACAAUGGGCGAAAGCCUGAUCCAGCCAUGCCGCGUGUGUGAAGAAGGUCUUCGGAUUGUAAAGCACUUUAAGUUGGGAGGAAGGGCAGUAAGUUAAUACCUUGCUGUUUUGACGUUACCAACAGAAUAAGCACCGGCUAACUUCGUG